rnacentral:rRNA from 1 species
UGGGGAAUAUUGGACAAUGGGCGAAAGCCUGAUCCAGCCAUGCCGCGUGUGUGAAGAAGGUCUUCGGAUUGUAAAGCACUUUAAGUUGGGAGGAAGGGCAGUAAGCGAAUACCUUGCUGUUUUGACGUUACCGACAGAAUAAGCACCGGCUAACUCUGUGCCAGCAGCCGCGGUAAUACAGAGGGUGCAAGUGUUAAUCGGAAUUACUGGGCGUAAAGCGCGCGUAGGUGGUUCGUUAAGUUGAAUGUGAAAGCCCCUGGCUCAACCUGGGAACUGCAUCCAAAACUGGCUAGCUAGAGUAGUGCAGAGGGUGGUGGAAUUUCCUGUGUAGCGGUGAAAUGCGUAGAUAUAGGAAGGAACACCAGUGGCGAAGGCGACCACCUGGGCUCAUACUGACACUGUGGUGCGAAAGCGUGGGGAGCAAACAGG